CACUGACCAAUUGUUUUAACUAGUUAUUUUUUCGGAUUUAGAUUGUUUGUUUAUUGUUUUAAAAUUUUGUGCACUCUGUAAAACUCUUUUGAUUUCAAGGUAAUAGAAGACUUGGACGUUUUUACAUUUUCAGAUCUAUAGUUCUGGCUAAAAAAAAUCAAUAAGUCUUGCGGUGUGUCGAGAUGGUGCGUGAACCGCACUCGCCCAUAAACGCAGACUUGUGCGAGAUAGAACAUAAAAUGCACUAGCCUAAUAAUAAUCUUCGGAUUUAGUAAAGUCUAUUUUGACUUAAGUU
rnacentral:lncRNA from 1 species